rnacentral:rRNA from 1 species
GACGAACGCUGGCGGCGUGCUUAACACAUGCAAGUCGAGCGGUAAGGCCCUUUCGGGGGUACACGAGCGGCGAACGGGUGAGUAACACGUGGGUGACCUGCCCUCAGCUCUGGGAUAAGCCUGGGAAACCGGGUCUAAUACCGGAUAUGACUCCACGGCGCAUGUUGUGGGGUGGAAAGCCUUGUGCGGCUGAGGAUGGGCCCGCGGCCUAUCAGCUUGUUGGUGGGGUGAUGGCCACCAAGGCGACGACGGGUAGCCGGCCUGAGAGGGCGACCGGCCACACUGGGACUGAGACACGGCCCAGACUCCUACGGGAGGCAGCAGUGGGAAUCUUGCGCAAUGGGCGAAAGCCUGACGCAGCGACGCCGCGUGAGGGAUGACGGCCU